GCCACCCGCGCGGCUGCGGUGAAUCCGACGCCGUCGCGUUGGCUGGCGGGCGAGGGCGGCGGAGGCUGAGGCAGCGCGCGGUCGCCCCUCAGGCUCCCUCCGAAGCAGCGGCUCUGGCCUGAACUAAGAAUUGUCCUGGUAUGAACAUGUGGCACUGGAGGCAAACGCAAAUAUAUUGAGAGGAUUUUGAGAUUGCAACUGCAGCCAUCAAACCUGCCACUUCUCUUGAAUGGGUUGAUCCCUAUGCUGUUGUAGGCACAUGAUGAUCAGUGGUACUGAGAGAGCCAAGAAUAUACCUGGGCUUGUGUUUCCUGUUUUUCCUAUCAUGUGGUUAGCAUCCAAGAUUGGAAGUGAAAUUCACUGGUGCCCUUCCUGGGUCAAAGUGUCCUGUUCAGUUGGACAAAGGUAUGGAUUUUUUAUGUAUCUGUAGCCAGGAAAUUAUAACCAUGAUUAAUCUUGAUCAGAUUACAUAUCUCAUCAUGUACACUGUCACAUCUUGAUCAUGUAUAACAGAGAGGUGUAAUAGUAUGUGGAAGUGACCUUGGGAUACAGGAGGAAGAGCCGCAAACUAGACAACGGUCAAAUAAGAGGCAGC